GGUCAUCUUAACUCAGUGGUAGAGUGCAUGACUUUUAACCAUGUGAUUGUGGGUUCAAUCCACAUAAUUAAGUGAUUA